GAUGCAAACCCUUCUGCCCCUUUUUGCUACCCCUGAAGCUUACUGUUAGUGGUCGAGUUUUUCUGGAAGUGGGCUUCCGCGAUCGCGGGGACCAACGCCCUGAGCUCUUGUGCCCAAAGGGGAUCGCCAGGUUUUUUGAUGCGGAUCGAAAGGGACUGGCCCCGGAGCCUACAACCUGACGCAGGUGGACAAGGUGGAGGAGAGAGAAUUCCUUGGCAGUAGCAUUAUGAACAAAUGCAGGGCUGAGAAACAGCAUGGUGGCCUUGACUAAGUUUAUGGCGACAGCAGAUGGAGUCUUGCUCUGUCGCCCAGGCUAGAGUGCAGUGGCGCGAUCUCAGCUCACUGAAACCUCUGCCUCCCGGGUUCAAGUGAUUCUCCUGCCUCCGCCACGCGAUGCCUCUUCAUGGGUGGUGGAUGAAGAAACUGAACAGGGCCAUGAUCCUUAUCUGUAAUUUCCCGGCUACCACACUGCUUUGGUGGUCUUCCCUCGUCUCUUCCUGGGUAGAAACAACUACCUGGAGAUCCCAAUGUUCUUGUCAGUGCACUUUUCAUGGACUGCAGUGGUAAGACGAUGUGUUGGAUGCCCAAACACAAACCAACCUACUUCAUACUGGGUGGAAUUUUUAUGAUUAGCGCCCUUCUCUCAUUCUGCUUGAACUUUUUGUUGCUGACCUUCCCUCAGUUAUUCCCUGAGACCCAGAAACAGUAUAUUUUCUGUGCAUCCAUCUGCAUUGUCACAGGAGCCCUCUACCUUCGCAAUUCCCGGUGCUGUGGAGCUGUCAGAGUUUUAACAUCUCAACCAAGCCACAUGGAUACUAUUUCCUCAGAAAAGACAAAAUUGAUCCAAGCAGAAGAGUGAACUCACCGAAGAGGACUCUCUACCCAUAACUGGGGAUGCCUCAGCCACUCACACUUACUCCAAGAUUAGUGUCACUGAUUAUGGAAAGAAUUGACUUCUUCCCCUGGUCUUGCUCAUUUUUCUAGAGCCCAGGACAAUAAAUGUGUUUUACGGCAGAGAAAAGUGAA
rnacentral:lncRNA from 1 species